AGGUGUGAUCAUACCAACACUAAUGCAUCGGAUCCCAUUAGAACUCUGCAGUUAAGCAUGCUUGGGCGAGAGUAGUACUAGGAUGGGUGACCUCCUGGGAAGUCCUCGUGUUGCACCUC
rfam:Cajanus cajan chromosome 2, whole genome shotgun sequence.